rnacentral:rRNA from 1 species
GACGAACGCUGGCGGCGGGCUUAACACAUGCAAGUCGAACGGAAAGGCCCUGCUUGUGUGGGGUGCUCGAGGGGCGAACGGGUGAGUAACACGUGAGUAACCUGCCCUUGACGGUGGGAUAACUGCAGGAAACCGGGGCUAAUACCGGAGAGGAGCUCGUGCUGCAGGGGGGGGGUUGGAAAGUUUCGGCGGUUGGGGAUGGACUCGCGGCUUAUCAGCUUGUUGGUGGGGGAGUGGCUUACCAAGGGUUUGACGGGUAGCCGGCCUGGGAGGGUGGCCAGGCCCCUUGGUCCUGCGGUAGGGAGCAGUCUGCUACGGUGGGCAACGGGGGGGAGUAUUGCCCAGUGGUCGGGCGUCUGAUGCGAAGGCGUCCGGUUUGGGAUGCCGUCCUUCGGGUUGUGAACCGCUUUCGCCUGUUACGAAGCGUGAGUGACGGUAAUGGGUAAAGAAGCACCGGCUAACUACGUG